GGAAUUUUGGACAAUGGGCGCAAGCCUGAUCCAGCAAUGCCGCGUGAGUGAAGAAGGCCUUCGGGUUGUAAAGCUCUUUUGUCAGGGAAGAAACGGGUUUUUCUAAUACAGAGACCUAAUGACGGUACCUGAAGAAUAAGCACCGGCUAACUACGUGCCAGCAGCCGCGGUAAUACGUAGGGUGCAAGCGUUAAUCGGAAUUACUGGGCGUAAAGCGUGCGCAGGCGGUUUUGUAAGACUGUCGUGAAAUCCCCGGGCUCAACCUGGGAAUGGCGAUGGUGACUGCAAGGCUAGAGUUUGGCAGAGGGGGGUAGAAUUCCACGUGUAGCAGUGAAAUGCGUAGAUAUGUGGAGGAACACCGAUGGCGAAGGCAGCCCCCUGGGUCAAAACUGACGCUCAUGCACGAAAGCGUGGGGAGCAAACAGGAUUAGAUACCCGGG
rnacentral:rRNA from 1 species